rnacentral:rRNA from 1 species
AAUCCCGCAGUCCAAGAUAUUAGUCAAUGCUCGAAAGAGUGAACUAGCUAACUGAAAUCAAUUAAAAAUUGAUAACAUAAGGGAAAAUAAUGAUAUUACCUUAUUAUUAGUGUCGUCCAAAACUGGUGCCAGAAGACUCGGUAAGGCCAGAGACAUAAACGUUAAUCGUCUUAAUCAGGCGUAAAGGGUUUGUAGGCGGCUUUUAAUUUUACUUAUUUAUUCUGUUUUUUUUUUUUAAUUAAAAUUUAUAAGUAAAGAAUAAAAGCUAGAAUCAAAUAUAGGAUAUAUUAAAUAAUGCUUAGAGUAGGUCUGAUAUCCAUAGAUACUAAGUAGAAUAUUAAAGGCGAAGGCUUUUUUCCAUUAAUGAUUGACGCUCAGAAACGAAGGUGAGGAUAGGAAAUAGGAUUAGAUACCCAAAAUACCCCUCUCUGUCAACGAUGAAUGGUAGUUAUUAGUAAUAAAUUAAUUAAUGACAAUGUUAACACGAUAACCAUUCCGCCUUGUGAGUACAACUGCAAAGUUGAAAACAAAAAAAUUAGUCGGUUCCGGAGCAAACGAAGUGAAGCAUGUUAUUUAAUCCGAAUAAAUCCCCGCAAA